UGGCGGACGGGUGAGUAACGCGUGGGUAACCUGCCUUAUACAGGGGGAUAACACUUAGAAAUAGGUGCUAAUACCGCAUAAGCGCACAGCUUCGCAUGAAGCGGUGUGAAAAACUCUGGUGGUAUACGAUGGUUCCGCGUCUGAUUAGCUAGUUGGCGGGGUAAUGGCCUACCAAGGCAACGAUCAGUAGCCGGCCUGAGAGGGUGAACGGCCACAUUGGGACUGAGACACGGCCCAAACUCCUACGGAAGGCAGCAG
rnacentral:rRNA from 1 species